ACCUGUGUCCUCUCCACAGUUACUGAGCACACAGGUCCUCACCAUGGGAUGGAGCUGGAUCAUCCUCUUCCUUCUGUCAGUAACUACAGGUGUCCACUGCCAGGUCCAGCUGCAGCAGUCUGGUUCUGGACUGGUGAAGCCUGGGUCCUCAGUGAAGUUGUCCUGCAAGGCUUCAGGCUACACCUUCACUGAAUACUAUAUUAACUGGGUGAGGCAGAGGCCUGGACAGGGCCUGGAGUGGAUUGGAUACAUUUAUCCUAGAAAUGGUGGUACUAACUACAAUCAGAAGUUCAAGGGCAAGGCCAAACUGACUGCAGACACAUCUUCCAGCACAGCCUACAUGGACCUCAACAACCUGGCCUCUGAGGACUCUGCGGUCUAUUACUGUGCAAGAGACACAGUGUUGCAACCACAUCCUGAGUGUGUCAGAAACCCUGGAGGAGUAGGAAGCCGCCCUGGGACUGAGAUGACAGAGAAGAUUAGCCUGGAGACUUGCUCAGAAAUAAUCACUUUGAGUGUCCUUUGUCACUUCACAAUC